rnacentral:rRNA from 1 species
GGCGAACGGGUGAGUAACACGUGGGUGAUCUGCCCUGCACUUCGGGAUAAGCCUGGGAAACUGGGUCUAAUACCGGAUAGGACGAUGGUUUGGAUGCCAUUGUGGAAAGUUUUUCGGUGUGGGAUGAGCUCGCGGCCUAUCAGCUUGUUGGUGGAGUAAUGGCCUACCAAGGCGACGACGGGUAGCCGGCCUGAGAGGGUGGACGGCCACAUUGGGACUGAGAUACGGCCCAG